CCUUUUAUUGAAAUAUUAUCCUGAUAAUAACAACAAAUCUGAUAAGGCACUUUCAAAAAAUAGCCAAACCACACAUCAUAAAGAAAAGCACUACAAUCAUAAUAGGUAACUAUCAACUUUCAGGGGGGCUCAGGUUACCACGACGAUCGGGGUAAAGAAUGGACUACUAUUGCGGUCUGAAUUGAGGGAGUUUUGAUAAAUUAUUUUGAUAACCGUUCGAAUACUAAUAAAAACGGGGACGUUAAGUCCCCGUUUUUGUUUUUA
rnacentral:sRNA from 1 species